AACUCUUGGCAAUGGGCAGAGAGACACCUUGUUGUUGGUGUUCUUAUGUCAGUCAGGUGCAGAGCAGAUGGCAGUCCUUUCAUCCUAGCUUGAUGCUUGGCUUGGUGGCCAAAGCUGUUUCACGCCUAGGGCACAUUU